UACGUAGGGGGCAAGCGUUGUCCGGAUUUAUUGGGCGUAAAGAGCGUGUAGGCGGCUUGGUAGGUCUCGCGUCAAAACCUGAGGCUCAACCUCAGUUCGCGUGGGAAACCACCUAGCUAGAGUCCGGAAGAGGAGAACGGAAUUCCCAGUGUAGCGGUGAAAUACGCAGAUAUUGGGAAGAACACCAGUGGCGAAGGCGGUUCUCUGGGCAUGUCCUGACGCUGAGGAGCGAAAGCGUGGGGAGCAAUCCGG
rnacentral:rRNA from 1 species